GCGGGUGUAGCUCAAUGGUAGAGCUCCUGCCUUCCAAGCAGGUGACGAGGGUUCGAUUCCCUUCACCCGCUCCA
rnacentral:tRNA from 1 species